rnacentral:misc_RNA from 1 species
GAAGUGCGAUAAGCAAUGCGAAUUGCAGAACCGUGAGUCAUCAGAUUUUUGAACGCAACUGGCGCUGGUUGGCUAUCCAACCAGCAUGCUUGUUUCAGUGUCUUUUUAUCCCCUCACCCAAAUCUUAAUGCGAGAGAUACCCUUCUCUUGUUAAGCAUGAAAGCACUCUGCGCUCUGCGAGCGACUUCGACUUGUUCGAGGGUCGCACUCAAUGCAGCAGUCACAUUGUUUACAGUGUGAACUCAUUGAGAGUAGAGGUAGUGCGGCCUUACAGCUGCCAGUGCUUAGACACUCAAACUUUUCUUGUAUCUGAAAUCAAGCAGGAUCACCCGCUGAACUUAA